UACGUAGGGGGCUAGCGUUGUCCGGAAUCAUUGGGCGUAAAGCGCGCGUAGGCGGUCAGGUAAGUCCGGUGUGAAAGUCAAAGGCUCAACCUUUGAAUGCCGCUGGAUACUGCCUGACUUGAGUCCGGAAGGGGCGAGUGGAAUUCCUGGUGUAGCGGUGAAAUGCGCAGAUAUCAGGAAGAACACCAAUGGCGAAGGCAGCUCUCUGGGACGGUACUGACGCUGAGACGCGAAAGCGUGGGGAGCGAACAGG
rnacentral:rRNA from 1 species